rnacentral:rRNA from 1 species
CGGGAGGCAGCAGUAGGGAAUUUUCGGCAAUGGGGGAAACCCUGACCGAGCAACGCCGCGUGAGCGAAGAAGGCCUUCGGGUCGUAAAGCUCUGUUGUAAAGGAAGAAGGCGAUCAGGAAAUGGUAUGCGAGUGACGGUACUUUACCAGAAAGCCACGGCUAACUCGUGCCAGCAGCCGCGGUAAUACGUAGGUGGCGAGCGUUAUCCGGAAUCAUUGGGCGUAAAGAGGGAGCAGGCGGCCGCAAAGGUCUGUGGUGAAAGACCGAAGCUAAACUUCGGUAAGCCAUGGAAACCGGGCGGCUAGAGUGCGGAAGAGGAUCGUGGAAUUCCAUGUGUAGCGGUGAAAUGCGUAGAUAUAUGGAGGAACACCAGUGGCGAAGCGACGGUCUGGGCCGCAACUGACGCUCAUUCUCGAAAGCGUGGGGAGCAAAUAGGAU